rnacentral:rRNA from 1 species
UUAGGAAUCUUGCGCAAUGGGGGCAACCCUGACGCAGCGACACAGUGUGGAGGAGGAAGGUCUUCGGAUUGUAAACUCCUUUUAUGAGGGAAGAAUAGAUGACGGUACCUCAUGAAUAAGCACCUGCUAACUACGUGCCAGAAGCAUCGGUGAUGCGUAGGGUGCGAACGUUAUCCGGAUUUAUUGGGCGUAUAGAGAAGCGUAGGUGUUUUUGUAAGUCUUUAGUUAAAUACCACGGCUCAACCGUGGAGAAGCUUUGGAAACUACAGAAAUUGAGACAGGAAUGGGCGAAUGGAAUUCCCAGUGGAGCGGUGAAAUGCGUUGAUAUUGGGAGGAACAUCAGUGGCGAAGGCGAUUCGCUGGUCCUUGUCUGACACUAAGGCUCGAAAGCGUGGGGAGCGAAACGG